CUCCGAUAGCUCAGUUGGUAGAGCGGUGGAGUGUAGACGGUGUCAGUAAUUCAUAGGUCGCUGGUUCAAAUCCGGCCGAGGAGA
rnacentral:tRNA from 1 species